rnacentral:rRNA from 1 species
UACGUAGGGUGCAAGCGUUGUCCGGAAUUAUUGGGGCGUAAAGAGCUCGUAGGCGGUUUGUCGCGUCUGCUGUGAAAUCCCCGGAGCUCAACUCCGGGUCUGCAGUCGAUACGGGCAAACUGAAGUACUGCAGGGGAGACUGGAAUUCCUGGUGUAGCGGUGAAAUGCGCAGAUAUCAGGAGGAACACCGGUGGCGAAGGCGGGUCUCUGGGCCGUAAGCUGA